rnacentral:lncRNA from 1 species
GGCCGCGCUAUGGGGCUGUGUGGGGCAGCGGUGAUCCUAUAGGGCGCUAUGGGGCUGUGUGGGGCAGCAGUGAUCCUAUAGGGCGCUAUGGGGCUGCGCUAUGGGGCUGUGUGGGGCAGCAGUGAUCCUAUAGGGCGCUAUGGGGCCGUGCUAUGGGGCUAUGUGGGGCAGCGGUGAUCCUAUAGGGCGCUAUGGGGCUGUGUGGGGCAGCGGUGAUCCUAUAGGGCGCUAUGGGGCUGUGUGGGGCAGUGGUGAUCCUAUAGGGCGCUAUGGGGCCGUGCUAUGGGGCUGUGUGGGGCAGCGGUGAUGCUAUAGGGCGCUAUGGGGCCGCGCUAUGGGGCUGUGUGGGGCAGCGGUGACCCCAUAGGGCCGAGUGGAUCCCAUAGGGCGCUAUGGGGCCGUGCUAUGGGGCUAUGUGGGGCAGUGGUGAUCCUAUAGGGCGCUAUGGGGCUGCGCUAUGGGGCUGUGUGCCCUCCCAUCGCGCCGCCCCCGCUCUCCCGCCCCACAUUUCCUCCCAGCUGCUUCCUGGGCCCCCCCGGGACGGCCCCGCUCUGCCCCACACGUUCCCCCAUUCCCCGCCGCGCUGUGGGGCUGACGGGGCCGCCAUGGUGAGGGCGGCAUGUGGGGCGCAGAUCUGAGCAUGUCCCGGCCCCACGACGAGGGGGAGCGACACGGGGGGAGCAGCAGCAGCAGCAGCAACAACAGCAGCACAGGUAAUGGGGGAUGUGUGGGGCACAUAGGGACCCAUAGGGACACAUAGAGACCCAUAGGGACACAUAGGGACCCAUAGAGACCCAUAGGGACCCAUAGAUACCCAUAGAGACCCCAUAGGGACUCAUAGAGACCCAUAGAGACCCCAUAGAGACCCAUAGAGACACAUAGGGACACAUAGAGACCCAUAGGGACCCAUAGGGACACAUAGGGACCCAUAGAGACCCAUAGGGACCCAUAGGGACCCAUAGGGACACAUAGAGACCCAUAGGGACCCAUAGGGACCCACAGGGACCCAUAGAGACCCCAUAUGGACCCAUAGAGACCCAUAGGGACACAUAGAGACCCCAUAGAGACCCCAUAGGAACCCAUAGGGACCCCAUAGAGACCCACAGAGACCCCAUAGAGACCCAUAGAGACCCCAUAGAGACCCAUAGAGACCCAUAGAGACCCCAUAGGGACUCAUAGAGACCCAUAGAGACCCCAUAGAGACCCAUAGAGACACAUAGGGACCCCAUAGAGACCCAUAGAGACCCCAUAGAGACCCCACAGGGACCCACAGCACCCCAUAGGGCUGGGGUCCCGCAGGGCUGUGGGGCGCUAUGGGGCGCUAUGGGGCGCUAUGGGGCGCUAUGGGGCGCUAUGGGGUGGCACCGUUUGUUGCAGACACAGAAAGAAAUGGACCCGACACGAACCACCAGGUGAGCUAUGGGGCGCUAUGGGGCGCUAUGGGGC